CAUGCCAACUGCCAGAACAAGGAGUUUGUUCC
rnacentral:piRNA from 1 species